UGAGUAUGGAUAACCAUUUUGCAGAAUUAGGAAUGUGCAGCUGAAAGUGGUCAAAGACCAAAGGCCAAGACUGAUGUCAGCUUGAAAGAAACUACUCUGUGUAUUGGAUUUGCAAGAUAAAAGAUGAUGAAUUAAAGCACCAGUUUCAAGUCCAAAGAUCAAAAAGCACCAUUUAGGUCAAGGUCAACUCCAAAUAUUGGUUAAAACCUAAUUUGUACCAACAACUGAAUCCAGAAGAGGGCAGUCUUGAUAGGACACCCAUAAAAGAGCUAAACAGGAUUGAUGUGGAAGCCCGGAUGCUUAGCUGUGCCACUGAGUUCAUUUCCUGUGGAUGUUGUGUGCUUGGUGCAUUGCAAUAAGGACAUAUAACCCAUAGAAUUCACUUGAAUAAUAUGGAAAGAGAUUGCUUUGGCAAAACUCAUUUUAUAUAUUUUAGAAUAACUUUGUCAAAGAUCAAGUUUGUUUGGAUGACAUUCUGAUGCAACAACAUAUUUUUAUGCAUAAAAUCUUGUUAUUUACUUGAAUGGUCAAAGGAUCAAGACAGUUGAUAUGAGUUUGAAUGAAGCACAUUUACUUUGGUAUUUGUUAAGUUAAUUGGAAUAUUUUCACUUUGUAUAAUAGGUUGACAAAUGUAGAUUUUAUUCUCAGUCAAGAUUGAUCUUUAAGUUUUACAUCCAAACAAUAAACUCUUUUGUUUUGGACAAAAAAAUUAUUUAAACAUACAGACUGUAUUCUGAAGACAAAUGCAAAGAAACAAUUAUAGAUUGUUAAUUAAGGAUAAAUAACACAAACUUUUUUUCCCCAAAAUUCAGAUAUCUUUGCUAAAUUAGGUGCCUUUCUCACUUUGGAAUUAAUAUUUGUAUAGUUAAACAACUUAAUGUUUG